CCGCCUUCCGGAUGGAUGAAAGCAGAAGCAGUGGCUGGAGCUAGAGCAGCUAUUUAGGACUAUGAGAUGGAAGAAAUGUGGUGACAAUAGCAGAACAAAAAUAUAGAAAUCUUGGGUACUUGAUGACCACGGAGCCGCCAUACAAACUCUGGACUAUAAUUUCCAGAGACUGUUUAUAGAAUGAAGAUACUGUCAUUACCUCUGCAAAGAAUGCAUCCUAGCACAGAUCAAAGAUCUUCCAAGUCCAGCCACACCAUUUUACAGUUCUGAACCUCGACUUAGGAAAGCAGUGGAUCUUUAUACAUUUGACACAUCCCUUCCCUCUAGGAUCUCUGUGGCUAUUGAAAAUGGACUGGAGAAGAUGAGUGGGAGUGAGAAGAGGAUAACAGAAUCAGAUAAAAACCUGUCAUGUUACUAAGAGCAGGAGAUGAGGCAGCCUGGACCAAGAUGGUGGCAGAGAGAAGAAAAUUGCUUGAGAGAAUUGAUUAAACUACUUGGUUAGCACAGAUAGAGCUGAAUCAAAAAUUAGGAUGGUAAGCUAAGUAAUUUUACACACAAAAAGGCAGAGUUGCAUUCAUAAUUAGUCUCUCCUUCAGACUGAAUAUUACAGACAAAAUAUAGCCAUUGGUGUUGCAAUCACUUCCUUUGGGUUUGUAUCCAAGGUUAAGAAUGUCAGCAUCCAAAGACCCAAAUUCUUAAUGUUUUUAGUUGAUAAAGUUUAUUCAAGGUAGACAGCCUGUGUUGAAUAACUUAGUCUUCCACAAAUUUCAAGAAAAAUCCAUUGUCCCUCUUCUCCGCCACAGACACACUUUAGUUGAACAUUAAGCAUAUUUAUUAAAGAAACAUUCUCCUUGUGCUUUUUCUCCCAAGAUGGAUGGUGUUCUUACUUAGAGUUAUAAGUGUCAGAAUAAAAAUGCCCAUGAGGUUGAAUUGUAUGAUGUUAUAGUAAAGUGAGAUAAACAUUCUCAGAAACAUGAUUGUGACUUAAAAAAAAAAAAAACCAACAAACCACUUUCUGUAGAGGAAUUAUGCUUUGGGGACAGAAACUUUCCUUUAUAAUUUUUACAGCUGCACGCAGAUAAAGUGUAUUAAAAAGGCACAACACAUCAAUUAUGAAAACAUGGCUACCCUUUAAGAGAACACAGACUUUUUCCAGAUCCAUCUUAAAUCUCAGGAAUUCUAGAUCGAGACAGGCAUGAAUGCUCCUGUUGCUGAAAUCACUCUGAUUUCCUUCUUGUUAAACACUUCACUCAGCAACAUUAUAGAUUAGCACCAAAAAAGUUGUUUGUAGGUGAAAAACUGUUCAGAAAAGGACACCUUAUUAGGCAGGCUGUCGAUUUACAAAUAAAAGCCGAUUCUGGCUCUCC